rnacentral:lncRNA from 1 species
GGUCACACAGCCUAAUUAUAGAUUACUGCACGGUCACGUGGUGUUGUCCUCUUAGUUCGAGUUUAUAUUUCUAUAGCAUUUUAUUUUAGUUUAGAUUCUAAAAUAGUAUGCUAGUUGCUAUAUCUAAUUUUAGUUCAUAUAAUACUAGCUAUUAUUGCUUGACUUGUAUUUAUGUAUGUGUGCUAUUGUAUUAAAUACUUAAGACCAAGGAUCAUGCAUUUUUUAAUUAUUAUAUGCACUUGAAUUUGAUCGUGCACAUACUUAGUCAUGCACUUGGUACUACACAGGUCUGUAUUCCGUGUUGAGUUUUCGUAUAUUGAUCAUGUUCGACAUAAAUCCGCUCGAAUUGGUUCAUUUUCGGAAUUCUCGAUAUUUCAUAAGUUUGUGUUUAUCUUCGUAUCUGACUUUAUACCUUUUUUGUUUUUAUUUUUGUAUUUCAAAUGUAAAAUUAGAAAAUAAUUUAGGAAUUUUUUGACUGUUUUUGACCGUUUUCAUCUUUAAUCAGGAUCACGUAGACCUGUUGUUCCUUUGUAUUUUAUCCCCCAACAAAUAUUAGUUUCCUUCCAAUUUAUAUAGUCACAUGAACAUAAGAACAUUUCUCUCAUACUAGCACAAGCAUCCCAUGUACUGUUUUAUUUGUUGGCUGAAUUACAAAUAAGUUGUGAUCAUUUAUCUCUCCCUUGGACAUUAAUUUUUAGUUGUUUGAAUAGAAGGAAAAAAUUACAGGGUUAGAUGACAAUAUUCACCCAUCACCUAUGGAUGUCUGGCUUGUCAAAAUAAAAUAUAAUUUAUAAAUCUAAUUUAGAUAUUUGUGCAAACACUGCACCCUAAUGACUACGUAAAAACACCACAAUAAUGGUAGAGAAAAGUGACUGGCACCACAAUAAUGGAAGAGAAAAGUGACUGGCAUUUUUCGAGUCUUAUAAAUAGUAAACCCUG